UACAGAGGUCUCAAGCGUUGUUCGGAUUCAUUGGGCGUAAAGGGUGUGUAGGUGGCGCCGUAAGUCGGGUGUGAAAUUCCGGAGCUUAACUCCGAAACUGCAUUCGAUACUGCGGUGCUUGAGGACUGGAGAGGAGACUGGAAUUUACGGUGUAGCAGUGAAAUGCGUAGAUAUCGUAAAGAAGACCAGUGGCGAAGGCGGGUCUCUGGACAGUUCCUGACACUGAGACACGAAGGCCAGGGGAGCAAACGGG
rnacentral:rRNA from 1 species